CCCUACAGGUAACAUGUUUGGGUUUGUCUUCAGUUCAUUUUGUUAUAUCUGCUUUACACAGGAAAACAACUUCACAUCCACCCAGUCAUUCACAUUUAUCCACUACAUACACAACUGACUCCUACUCACAGUUACAUACGUUGCAUUUAUUUUGUUAUUGAACUAUUUUUAGUAUUUGUGAAAUAAACCAUUUUGAUUGGCCUGAGCCGUUUGAGUUAUUUUCCCCACAGUUUGUGUUGUGACUUGCUGUUGAGCCAGGCUUGUGACACUCUUCCCGAGCCACACCAAAGUAAAGAAGUGAAAGCCAAUGAAGCGUCAGCCACAAGGGAACUUUGGAGGGGUGGAUCAAUCCGGCAGGCAGCGUGACUCUGGACCCCCACUACCUAGAGGAUGCGCUUUGAACAAUCUGGCUAGGGUCAUUCUCCCUGCGCUUCAUCAUCUUAAAGGUCAGACAAUCCAAAUAGCUUGGAAGACACUUCAGUUGCAGAAUUGCCAUGAACCCACAGCUGACCAUGAAGAGCGUCUCCACCGGGCUUCCAGAGAGGUCACAAAAACAGCGGUCAUGUUAAGCAUGGGAUUGUGUGCAUUGCAGUUCUUAAUUUAUGACACAGAGUGGCGCUGCUCUAAGCAGGCAAUCACUUGAGACUUGGAGGCGUGGUGUCACAACAAUGUACCAGGCACACUGGGAAGGAAAAAUAAAUCACUCAAGUCGA